rnacentral:misc_RNA from 1 species
GAAGUGCGAUAAGCAAUGCGAAUUGCAGAACCGUGAGUCAUCAGAUUUUUGAACGCAACUGGCGCUAGUUGGCUCUCCAGCUAGCAUGCUUGUUUCAGUGUCUCUUUAUCUCAUCACCCAAAUCUUAAUGCGAUAGAUACCCUUCUAUUGCUAAGCAUGAGAGCACUCUGCACUCUGCGAGUGACUUCGUUUCGAGGUCACACUCAUUGCAGCAGUCACAUUGUUUCAAUGUGAACUCAAUGAGAGUAGAGGCAGUGCAGUCUAACUGCGAGUGUUCAGACACCCAAACUUAUUUGUAUCUGAAAUCAAGCAGGAUUACCCGCUGAACUUAA